CUCGUUCUUCAGUGUUGACACCUGCCUCUCUGGAUCCAUCCUUGUGUCAAUACAUUGGCGGGCAUAUUUCAAUUGCUGCAAAUGGAAAGUGCAAAAGUAGUUUGCAUUCAGUUAAUUCAGCCUGGAGGAGAGGAGAACAUAAGACAGACUUGUGCUUUUUCUCAUAGCCUCAGAGACUCCAGCUUAUGCCUUUGAGCUUCCACAUGCUUUCAUGUACCAAGAUUGGAUCAAAGCUGCCCCACAGCUUUACAUCUUUUCAAAUGUGUGGACAAAGAGGAGCAGGAGGAGGGCAGGAAGGAUGCUGAGAUAUAACCCAGAAUUGUAGGCUUUGAAUUCUGUGAAAAGAAUAGAGGAGAUGGGGGAGAGACAGAUACUGCCACGCAGGUAGGGUUGCCAACUUCUCUUUGACUGUCAGAGCCUCUCUAACUUUCACAGCUGGUUGCUUCAUGACAGGAGAACAUCUGGCAGCUGCUGCUUUUCCUGCCACAGAGGAGCAAUGAAGGAGAAACUCAGUAUCGCUUAAUGAUGAUUAACAAGGCUGAAAACGGUUCCUUUCCAGUUCCUUAUCUGCAAUUCUUAAUUCUCUGUUUGACUUUAAAGGUGUAGAUCAUGCUGACUGGGGAUCUGGGGAUUAAAUAGCAAUACAUUCCAAAAUAAGAUUUGGAUACACAUGCACCCAUCCCAUAUACACACAUGAAAGGACGGUUAUCCCCUGCAACAGGGAUGGAAGCAUCUGUGCAGCUCUCCUGAUUCUACUGGACUGCAAUUCCCAUCAUCCCUCAACAGCAUUCCCAGUGGUGAGUACUGUUGCCAGGUUUUCAAAACAGCAAUAGUUGAUAUUCAUGACAUACAAGAUUAACAAUCAGGAUGGAGCUGUUAACAAAUUUGUGCACUUCCUAAAUACCAAAUGAAAAUAUUGAUUUCAGGUAACUUGGCCAUGUGUUUCUCUGUAAAAUUAACAUAUUGUCCACAUUCGUAAAUUACCUGAUAGACAGUCUCUUCCAACUCUAUGAUUCUAUGAAAAAGAACAAGAGGGGAUGCCAGGCAAUCUUAAUGAGUGAUGUUAGGAGUUGCAGUCCAAUAACAUCUUGAAGGCUGCAUGAUUCUCCAUAAAUUCCUACUAACUGCGGAGUUACCCCCAUUCCCCAAUGGGGAAUAUCAUCACCUGUCACAUCAAACUCACAAAUAUCAGAUAGCAUAAUGAUCGUGGCAAGUGAAACGAGUGUGUGGCCAGACACAUGAUUUGAGAAGAUCUAAUGGUUAUUUGGACAAUGCUUUGCUGCUUAUAAUUGUAAUUGUGAUGUGAAGAAUGAAGGAAACUCACUCAAUAAACAGUAAGGGUUGCUUCAGUUUUUGUAGCAGCUCAGGGAAGCCAGUACUCUCUGUUGUUUGGACACAAGAUCUGGAAGAGCUGAUAGCUUAUUUGUAGGUGUAUAUACAUAUUAGGCAAAUCACAUUCUCUCAGCCUCAGAGGAUGGCCAUGGCAAAUUCCCUCUGGAGAAACUUGCUAAGGAAAACCCUAUGAUAGUUUUGUCUUGGGGUCACCAUAAGUCAAAAAUGACUUGGAGGCACACAUCAGCAGCAAGAAAUACAUAUUUAAAACCAGAACUUGAAACAGUUAUUUUUCUUUACUGUAACUCCCAGAAUCCCCCAGCCAUACCAAUGAUGUGUUGGUUAAUGGAUUUUGGAAGAUUCAGGUUAUGGGUUUUUUUAUUGUAUUUUAUAUCUGUACUGUGUUAUUUUACUGAUGUUAUCCCGCCUCAUUUUGCAGGGAGAGGCAGGAAAAAUACAAAUAAAAAUUAUUA